rnacentral:rRNA from 1 species
GAUGAACGCUAGCGGCAGGCCUAACACAUGCAAGUCGAGGGAGAAGCCCUUCGGGGCAGAAACCGGCGCACGGGUGCGUAACGCGUAUGCAACCUACCUUUCACAGGGGGAUAGCCCGAAGAAAUUUGGAUUAAUACCCCAUAAUAUUAUUGGAUGGCAUCAUUUGAUAAUUAAAAUUACGAUGGUGAAAGAUGGGCAUGCGUCCUAUUAGCUAGUUGGAGUGGUAACGGCACCCCAAGGCUACGAUAGGUAGGGGUCCUGAGAGGGAGAUCCCCCACACUGGUACUGAGACAGGGACCAGACUCCUACGGGAGGCAGCAGUGAGGAAUAUUGGUCAAUGGUCGGAAGACUGAACCAGCCAUGCCGCGUGCAGGAAGAAUGCCUUAUGGGUUGUAAACUGCUUUUAUAUGGGAAGAAUAAGGAGUACGCGUACUUUGAUGACGGUACCAUAUGAUAG